GGAUGGGAAAGGCAGACCCACCCUUAAUCUGCCUGGGCACAGUCUAAUCAGCUGCCAACACAUCUAGAAUAUAAACCGGCAGAAAAAUGUGAAAAGAGACUGGCCUAGCCUCCCAGCCUACAUCUUUCUCCUGUGCUGGAUGCUUCCUGCCCUCAAACAUUGGACUCCAGAUUCUUUAGUUUUGGAACUCGGACUGUCUCUCCUUGCUCCUCGGCCUGCAGACGGGCUACUGUGGGACCUUGUGAUCGUCAAAACUUGUAUGUGAAAAUAUAAGCAAAAUGAUAAAUGUGACUGGCCGACAAGCAAAAAACAUUGUUUACCAUCAAACAGCACCAAAACUUCUGGCUGUGUUAUUACCAAUUUGAAUGGACCUUUGCCGAAAGUCCCUGAAGCCAAGCCACACUGCUAACUGAUGAGAGACCAGCUUGAAAGAGGGAGGACCUGCCAAUUGCCAUCAGCACAACUCCAGAUAUAUGGGAGUCAGGCUUUAGGGCAAAAACCGGGGAUCACAGAAUGCUUGCUCAAUCAACUUUGCUCAUCCAAAAUCACAAAAAUCGCCUCAAAAAAUGUUGAUGAUAAUUUAAUUUUCUUCACUCUCCAUGAAGAUGUUAGAUAAUGCUCACUCUGGGUGAGAAUAAAAGCCAGACUCAUCAAUUGUGUUACCGAUUAUAUUCUUGCAAAAGAAUUUUCUUUUAAUUGAAAAAGCUGAAUGUGAGCCAGGCAUGGUGGUUCACGCCUGUAAUCCCAAAAGUUUAGGAGGCCGAGGUGGGUGGAUCUCCUGAGGCUGGGAGUUCGAGAGCAGCCCGGACAACAUAGCGAACCCUGUCUCUACUAAAAUUACAAAAAAUUACUGGGAGUUUUGGUGGGUGCCUGUAAUCCCACCUACUUAGGAGGCUGAGACACCAGAAUUGCUUGAACUCUGGAAGCGGAGGCUGAGGUCUGCCUGGGUGACAGAGCCAGACUCUGUCUUUAAAAAAAAAAAAUGGAAAAGCUGAAUAUGGCACUAUAGAUGCUACUAUUCAACUCUGUCUUCAUUCCUGUACAAAGGUCAGCUAGAACGACUAUAACUGAUAAAAUAGUAUUAAGAUAGUAUUUAUCCAUUCCAUAUGACCCUAUUGUUUGUAAUUAUAGAGAUCAUUGAAGCCAUGUACAUGAACAUCAAUAGCAGCACUCCUUCCCAAGACUUACUCCACCUCCCACAUUUUCUUUAAUUAUUAAUAAUGCUCUGCUUCUACUAUAGGUAUAUAGACACAGAUAAAACUAUAAACUCUAAGAGCCAUUUGAAGAAAGUCUAUCGUCAGAAGAAGCAAUCAUGAAAAUAAUUGCUAUUAUAUGUAUGAUUUUAUUCAUACUCCAAACAAUUAGUUGAAAAAACUGCAAGUAACUAAAUUUGAUAAUUUAGUAUGCAGAAAAGUUCUAUCACAUGAAAAUGGUAUGUUUUUGCCAUUGGCAAAUGGUAUUACACAACUCCAUGCUUUAUUUUAGCUUUGGAAAACAUAAAAGUAAAUGCAAAAUAUAUUUACUAAUCAUGAGGGCUCCUAGAAUAUUUAUUUUUGUGCCUCCUCCAAAAGAUUUUGGUAAUUUAAUUUACUUGUUUAGUUGUGUGUAAAUAUUUUAUAAAAUUCCUUAGAAGUAAGCAAAUAAAAAUCACUGAUAACCAGAAAACAAUGCACAAAUGAGUCCCCCCAUGCAGCUCCGCCUUUCUAUGCCCUUGAAAAACAAGAAAAGGUAAAGUAAACAAAAUCCACAUGAGCCUCUUGCAGUGGUAAAAGUAAUAGACCCAGAGUCAGGGAAUCAACUUUCCUAAGUUGCUGUAACACAGAUCACUUGUAUGACUUGGGGCAGCAUAUCUCUAAGACAAGAUGAUUGGGCACAGUAUUUCUUAAGAUUCUUUAUGCCUCUUUUGCUUUAAAAAAUUAUUAAAAUGUUUCUAAUAAAAAUACAAAGAAUCUUUUCUGUUACCAUUAUCAUCAUUUCAAAUUAAUUUAUAUGCUACACUUAAAUUUUAAAGAUAUUUAAUCUGGAAAGGAAUAGACAAAGCUAUUUAAAAGACUUCUAAAAUAAAUACGGAGGUAAUUUACUUUAGGAAGUAGAAAUAACAUCUUUUAUGUUUUUGUUUUUUUUAAUCAAAAUUAUUUUUAGACUGCUUAUAUGUAAGCAUAGUCUAUUCCUUGUUUUGACCAAGUGACAUUGUAGGUAUAUUUAAGAAAUUAUGGGCAAUUAGAACUUAAUUAAAAUGCUGUGAAUUGAAGGGUUUCUAAAGGUGUUGUGACUUAUGGUUUUUGAUUCUGCAUAUAAGGAGUUGGGAAGUUGCCACAAAAACAAGUAAAAAGCUUUCACAAGUGUAAAGGUAGACUGAAAAAUCAAUUCUAGAUCUGUAAGAGAAGUAAGGUCACAGAGCAAACCACUGCCAUCAAAAUUGGAGAGAUAGAACAGCAGACACAGAGAAACCACAAAUUACUGGAGCAGAAACCCAUGAGCAGAGAAGAGACCUACUGGGGAACCAAUACUAGGGGAGAAAAACUUAUACUUUGACAAACUUCUGGAAGGCCAGCCUUACACUUCUUUGGGUUUUACCAUUAGAGGAUCUACCAGAUCCUCACACUGAAUAUUGGAGAAAAAUCUCCUUGUGUUUCUAGCAGAGAGAGGAAGAAAAAAGAACCAUUUUCGAAACAUGCCAGAGCAUUCUGUUCUUCUUAACAAGGCCUGCUGUUAGGAAAAUCUAUUUUGCCAAAGCCUAAUCAGCCGAGGUUUCCAGAACCUAUACUACCUGGGGGAAGGGAAAUACCCUGCUCCAGCUUCUGUAGCCUUCACUGUGGGGGAAGAGAAAUACAUAAUUUCAGUUCACUUCGGCCAUUUUGUCUCACCUAAGGCAGGAUAAAUUGAGAAGCAACAAUAAAGUUCACAGUCCAGGGACACAGGUUCACAGAAAGACUGAGACCUAACCAUAGGGCUAUGCAAUGUUUCUUCUACCACAGCUUACCACUACGUUAUAAAAGACCUACUUACCACAGUUCCUUUUAGCUAGUAUUUAAUGUCUGCCUUUAGAGAAAAAUUCAAGGCACACAAAAAAGGAAAAGAUACAUAGUUGAAGAGACUGAACAGGUAUCAUAACCAGACUCAGAUAUGGCAGGAAUGUUGGAAUUAUCAGAGCAGGAAUUUUUUAAAAUUAGGUUUAAUAUGUUAAGUGUAUUAAUGAAAAAAAGUAGACAACAUACAAGAACAGAUGGAUAAUGUAAGCAGAGAGAUGGAAAUUCUGAGAAAGGAUAAAAAAGAAGUUCUAGAGAUAAAAACACUGUAACAGAAAUAAAGAACGCUUUGAUGUGCUCAUUAGCAGAAUGAACACAGCUGAAGAAAGAAUCUCUGAACUGGACAAUAUGACCAUAGAAACUUCUAAAUUAAAAAGCAUACAGAAAAAGACUGAAAAACUUAAAAACAGAACAGAAUAUUCAAGAACUGUGGAGCCACUAUAAAAGGUUGGAGAGCACAAAACCUUGAACAUCACAAGGAAAAUAGUUUUAUAAAGGCUUUCUCCAUUCAACAACAUAAAUCAGGCUUUAAAUAUAAAGCUACCAGAUAAGUCUUUGUAUAUAAAUUCCUUAUCUUAGUCUUUUUAGAAAUACUAUUUUUAACAAAAACAAAAAUUAUUUUUAAAAAUAUUUUUAACAAAUAGUAGAGAAAGAAAAAUGGUAUAGGCAAAUAACCUGUAUCUAUACAAAGAGAAGAAGAUCAGAGCAUAAGUGAAGGUCAAAUAUAAACUUUUAUUUUUCUUAUUUCUAAUUUAGCAUAGUUUAUUAUAAACAAUAGCAACAAUGUAUUCAUGUAUGCAUACUUCUGCAUGUGUGUAUAUAUGUAUAUAUAUUAUAUAUAUAUGCUUAUGUAUAAGUGAAACGAAUGACAAUAAUGAUAAAAGGGAUGGAUGUGAAGAAUUAGAAAUAUUUUGUUAUUAUAAGGUAUUUGUACUCCAGAUGAAAUGGUAUAGUGUUUUUUGAGAGUGGACUUCAAUUUGCUGUAAACUAUAUAGUAAAUUCAAGGGCAACUACUAAAAAGGAAAAAAAAUACAUUAAAAAAGAAGUAUAAUGUUAUCCUAAAAACUGAGAGAAAAUGGAACCAUAAAUGCUAAAUUAAAUCAGAAGAGACAAAAAAUUGUAAAAGACAGAAAUGAAAACCAACAAGGGCAAUAAAUAGAACACUAUAAAAAUAUUGUAGAGAUUAUUCAAUAAUCACAUUAAACAUCAAUGUUUUAAAUACAAUUAGGAGAUAGAGAUUGUCAGAGUGGAUCAAAAAACAAGACUCAACUGUAUGUUGUCUAUAAGAAACCCUUCUUAAACAUGAAACACAUAUAGGUUAAAAAGUGAAGGGAUGGAGAAAGAUAUAGCACACUAACACUUAUCCAAAAUAAAUGAGAGUAACUAUACUAAUUCUAGGGAGAGAAGGCUUCAGAGCAAGGAUAGUUAUCAGGGAUAAUAAGAGGUAUAUAUAAUAAUAAAGGACUAAUACUUCAUUAAGACAUAACAAUCCUUAACCUGUAUGUCCUUAGAGAACACCAACACAUGUGAGGCAAAAUACAAGAGUGCUGCAAAUUCUGCACAUGUAUCCCCGAACUUAAAGUAUAAUAAAAUACACACACAUACAUCAAAAAAUAAAAAUUCUAUGAUCACAUUAAUAGAUGAAGAAAAGGCAUUUGACAAAAUCCAGCACCUUUUCAUGAUAGAUUGUUUUGUUUUGUUUUUGGAACAAAUAGAGGAGAAUCUACCCAAUUUGAUUUUAAAAGGAGAAAAUCUGUAGCUAACAUCAUACAGUCAUGUGUCACAUUAUGACAGAGACACAUUCUGAGAAAUGCAUCAUUAAGCAAUUUUGUUGUUUAUGAAUAUCAUAGAGUGUACUUAUGCAAACCUAGAUGGUCUAGCCUACUACACACCAAGACUGUAAGUUAUAGCCUAUUGCUUCUAGGCUACAAACUUGUUUUGAAUAUUACUGUACUGAAUAUUGUAGGCAAUUGUGACAUAAUGGUAAGUGUUAGUGUAUCUAAACAUGCCUAAAUACAGAAAAGGUACAGUAAGAAUGUGGCAUUCUAAUCUUAUGGAACCAUUAUUAUUAAUGCAGUCUGUCAUUUACCAAAAUGUGGUUAUGCAAUCUAUGGCUUUACUUAAUAGUAAAAAAUUAGAAGCUUUGCCACUCACAUCAGGAACAAGAUAAGGAUUUCCUCUCUCUCCACUGCUUUUCAAUGUACUGGAAGUCCUAGGUAAUACAAGAAGUCUGUUUAUAGAUAACAUGAUUGUCUAGAUAGAAAAUCCAAACUAAUUGCUCCUCAUGGAAUUAAUAAGCAAUUAUAGAAAGGUUGCAGGAUACAAGUUUAAUAUACAAAAGUCAGUUGCUUUCCUAUACAUCAUCAAUGAACAAGGAAUUUGAAAACAAAACACAUUAUUAUUUACAUGAUCACCUCACAAAAUGAAGUGUUUAAAAUCUAACAAAAUAUAUUCAAGACUCAUAUGAGAAAAUCUACAACAUUUAGAUGAAAGAUACCAAAGAAAACUCAAUAAGUGGAGAGAUAUUCCAUGUUCAUGGAUUAGAAUACUCAAUAUUAUCAAGUUGUCAGUUCUUAGCUUGAUCUAAAGUCGAAAAAGUCCAAUAAAAUCCCAACAAGUUAUCAUAUGAAUAUUGGCAAACUUGUUCCAAAGUUUAUAUGGGAGAGCAAAAGACCUAGAAUAGCCAACUCAAUACUGAAAGAGAAGAUGAAAGUCAGAGACACAUAAAUUUAAAACUUGCUAUUAAGGUAUAGUAAUCAAGACAGUAUAAUACUGGCAAAAUGAUUGACUAAGAAAAAAAAAAAACAGAAAAAGAAAAGAACAGAAAACAAAAGAACAGAAAAGAGAGCCCCAGAAUAGAUCCACACGAAUAUAAUCGAUUGAUCUUUGACAAAGUCACAACAGUAAUACAAAAGGGCAAAAAUUAUCUUUUCAACCAAUGGUGCGGAAAAAAUGGGCAAUCUAAGUGAAAAAAAGUGCAUAGUGACACAGACCUUAUACCAUUCUCAAAAAUUAACUCAAAAUGAAUUAUAUACCUAAAUGUAAAAUGUAAACCUAUAAAAUUCCUAGAAGAUAACAGCAGAGAGCCUUGAUGAACUUGGUUGUCACAUGACUUUUUAGAAACAACACCAAAGACAUGAUCCAUGAAAUAAAUAAUUAACAAGCUGGAUUUCAUUAAAAUUUAACACUACUGCUGUGCAAAAACCACUGUAAAGAGAUUAAGAAGACAGGCUACAGAUUUGGAGAAAAUAUUUGCAAAAGAGACAUCUGAAAAGAACUGUUAUACAAUACAUAAAAAGAACUCUUAAGAGUCAACAAUAUGAAAAUGAAUAACCUAGUUAAAAAAUAGGCAAAAGACACUUUGUUCAACAAAGGAGAUACACAGGAGACAAGUAUGCAUAUUAAAAGAUGUUCAGCAUUAUAUGUUAUCAAGCUAUUACAAAUUAAAACAAAAAUGAUAUAACACUGCACAGCUAUUAUAAUAGCCAAGAUAGAAAACAUUGGCAACAUCAGAUGCUGGUGAGGAUGUGGAACAAUAAGAAAUCUUACUCUUGCUGAUGGGACUGCAAAAUGGUACAUCCACUUUGGAAAACAUUUUGUCAAUUUCUUAAAAGCUGAACAUACUCUUACCUUAUGAUCCAGUUUGGUACUCAUUUAAAGGAGUUGAAAAUUAGAAACCUGCACACAGAUGUUCAUAAAAGCUUAAUUCACAAUUGCCAAAACUUGGAAGCCACCAAGAUGUCUGUCAAUAGGCAAGUGGAUAAACUAUGGUACACAUAGACAAUAAAACAUUAUUUAGCGAUAAAAAUAAAUGAGCAAUCAAGUUAUAAAAAGACUUGGAGGCAAUUUAAAUGCAUAUAACAAAGUGAAAAAAGCCAAUCUGUAAAAGCUAUGUACUGUAUGAUUUCAACUAUAUGACAUUCUGGAGAAAGGCAAAAUCAUGGAAACAGUGAAAAAAAUGUUGUUCACCAGGGAUUAGGGGAGAAAGGGACAAAUAUAGGAAUAACACAGGUCCUCCCAUAUUUCUAUCCAAAUGGUGAAGCUUGAUCUACAAUUAUAGCCGAGGGAGAAGUAGGAUUUAUUUGGUGCUAUUAUCUGUGAACGAACGACUGUGAAAACCAAAUGCUAUUCUAUUGUUACAUAAAUGAAGACGUUGAGUAGAAUCUUAUUCGACCACAUGUAUGUAUGUAUUCUCCUCUUAUUCUUA
rnacentral:lncRNA from 10 species